GCCUAACACAUGCAAGUCGAGCGGUAGCACAGAGAGCUUGCUCUCGGGUGACGAGCGGCGGACGGGUGAGUAAUGUCUGGGAAACUGCCUGAUGGAGGGGGAUAACUACUGGAAACGGUAGCUAAUACCGCAUAACGUCGCAAGACCAAAGUGGGGGACCUUCGGGCCUCAUGCCAUCAGAUGUGCCCAGAUGGGAUUAGCUGGUAGGUGGGGUAACGGCUCACCUAGGCGACGAUCCCUAGCUGGUCUGAGAGGAUGACCAGCCACACUGGAACUGAGACACGGUCCAGACUCCUACGGGAGGCAGCAGUGGGGAAUAUUGCACAAUGGGCGCAAGCCUGAUGCAGCCAUGCCGCGUGUGUGAAGAAGGCCUUCGGGUUGUAAAGCACUUUCAGCGGGGAGGAAGGCGUUAAGGUUAAUAACCUUGUCGAUUGACGUUACCCGCAGAAGAAGCACCGGCUAACUCCGUGCCAGCAGCCGCGGUAAUACGGAGGGUGCAAGCGUUAAUCGGAAUUACUGGGCGUAAAGCGCACGCAGGCGGUCUGUCAAGUCGGAUGUGAAAUCCCCGGGCUCAACCUGGGAACUGCAUUCGAAACUGGCAGGCUAGAGUCUUGUAGAGGGGGGUAGAAUUCCAGGUGUAGCGGUGAAAUGCGUAGAGAUCUGGAGGAAUACCGGUGGCGAAGGCGGCCCCCUGGACAAAGACUGACGCUCAGGUGCGAAAGCGUGGGGAGCAAACAGGAUUAGAUACCCUGGUAGUCCACGCUGUAAACGAUGUCGAUUUGGAGGUUGUGCCCUUGAGGCGUGGCUUCCGGAGCUAACGCGUUAAAUCGACCGCCUGGGGAGUACGGCCGCAAGGUUAAAACUCAAAUGAAUUGACGGGGGCCCGCACAAGCGGUGGAGCAUGUGGUUUAAUUCGAUGCAACGCGAAGAACCUUACCUGGUCUUGACAUCCACAGAACUUUCCAGAGAUGGAUUGGUGCCUUCGGGAACUGUGAGACAGGUGCUGCAUGGCUGUCGUCAGCUCGUGUUGUGAAAUGUUGGGUUAAGUCCCGCAACGAGCGCAACCCUUAUCCUUUGUUGCCAGCGGUUAGGCCGGGAACUCAAAGGAGACUGCCAGUGAUAAACUGGAGGAAGGUGGGGAUGACGUCAAGUCAUCAUGGCCCUUACGACCAGGGCUACACACGUGCUACAAUGGCAUAUACAAAGAGAAGCGACCUCGCGAGAGCAAGCGGACCUCAUAAAGUAUGUCGUAGUCCGGAUUGGAGUCUGCAACUCGACUCCAUGAAGUCGGAAUCGCUAGUAAUCGUAGAUCAGAAUGCUACGGUGAAUACGUUCCCGGGCCUUGUACACACCGCCCGUCACACCAUGGGAGUGGGUUGCAAAAGAAGUAGGUAGCUUAACCUUCGGGAGGGCGCUUACCAC
rnacentral:rRNA from 1 species